rnacentral:lncRNA from 1 species
AAUUCUUUAGAGUUAAGGAACAGAUUGAACUGAAUAUCCUUAUAGUUAAGGAUUGAUCAUACUCGCUAUAAGUCCUUGCUUGAGGGUAGUCGCUCCCCCUCGGGCGAUGCGCUCCGGAGUUUGUCAUCACUGAGUUGAGUUACUCAGAGGACGGUCCUAGCGGGAGGAAGCUGAGGGCCCGCGAUCAUGGAUUUGAGUUGUGAGUUAAUCAGGCGAUACCCCCAGGUUAGCCUUGAGAUUGAACAAAUAACAAAGAACAAAGAACAAAGAACAUCGACCACGCAUUCUUCAUGAAUUUAUAUUGAGCAUCUUAUUGAUAGCAUUGUUCAGGUAUAUUAGCUGCAUUUGUAUAGUUGGCUACUUAUCUGCUUAUUCUUUCUAUUAUGGCUGAGUUAGACCUAGUGAGAAAGUCGGUGAGAUUGGGGCCGAACCCACUGGGAAUUUUGUUGUAGUUCUCACCCCACUAUUCCACAGAGCUGGGACCGAGCGAGCCGGCGAGCGACCGUGGUAAAGGUAUCGCAUCUUAGUCAGAAGCCACCAGAGUUGGGUUUACAUUUUGUAGUAGCAUUCCCCUACUUCAUCUUUUGUAUUUGAUGAUUUGAGAUGUAAAAGAAAAAGAAUGUAAUGUUUAUCUCGAGGAGAAUGUGAUGUAAAAUGAAAUGAUGAAAAGUAUGUAAAGAAUUAUGAAUGCAAUGUAUGUGAUCAAAAGAGAAUCAUAGUACUUGUGUAGAUGUUUAGUUUU